UGUGUAUAUAUACAUGUAUGUGUGUGUGUGUGUGUGUGUGUGUAUAUAUAUAUAUACACACACACACACACACACACACACACACAUACACCUA
rnacentral:miRNA from 1 species